CGGGACGGGUGAGUAAUGUCUGGGAAACUGCCUGAUGGAGGGGGGUAACUACUGGAAACGGUAGCUAAUACCGCAUAACGUCGCAAGACCAAAGAGGGGGACCUUCGGGCCUCUUGCCAUCGGAUGUGCCCAGAUGGGAUUAGCUAGUAGGUGGGGUAACGGCUCACCUAGGCGGCGAUCCCUAGCUGGUCUGAGAGGAUGACCAGCCACACUGGAACUGAGACACGGUCCAG
rnacentral:rRNA from 1 species